rnacentral:rRNA from 1 species
AAAGUGCCGUAACAAGGUCUCCGUUGGUGAACCAGCGGAGGGAUCAUUACAGAGUUGCAAAACUCCCAAACCAUUGUGAACGUUACCCAUCCCGUUGCUUCGGCGGGCGGCCCGGGCCCCGUGCCCGGCGCCCCCCGGCCCCUCGCGGGCGCCCGCCGGAGGUAAACCAAACUCUUGAAUUGUAUGGCCUCUCUGAGUCUUCUGUACUGAAUAAGUCAAAACUUUCAACAACGGAUCUCUUGGUUCUGGCAUCGAUGAAGAACGCAGCGAAAUGCGAUAAGUAAUGUGAAUUGCAGAAUUCAGUGAAUCAUCGAAUCUUUGAACGCACAUUGCGCCCGCCAGUAUUCUGGCGGGCAUGCCUGUUCGAGCGUCAUUUCAACCAUCAAGCCCCCGGCUUGUGUUGGGGACCUGCGGCUGCCGCAGGCCCUGAAAACCAGUGGCGGGCUCGCUAGUCACUCCGAGCGUAGUAGUUACAUCUCGCUCAGGGCGUGCUGCGGGUUCCGGCCGUUAAAAAGCCUUAUUUACCCCAAGGUUGACCUCGGAUCAGGUAGGAAGACCCGCUGAACUUAAGCAUAUCAAUAA